rnacentral:rRNA from 1 species
ACAGCUCAGUAACACGUAGCUAACCUACCCUAAGGACGGAGAAAACCCCGGGAAACUGGGGUUAAUCUCCGAUAGGUGUGAUGUCCUGGAAUGGUAUCACGCCCAAAGGUGCUAACGACAUGUUGUUAUCAUGCCUUAGGAUGGGGCUGCGGCUGAUCAGGCAGUUGGUGAGGUAACGGCUCACCAAACCUUUGACCAGUACGGGCCAUGAGAGUGGUAGCCCGGAGAUGGGCACUGAGACAAGGGCCCAGGCCCUAAGGGGCGCAGCAGGCGCGAAACCUCCUCAAUGCACUCACGUGCGAAGGGGUUAUCUCGAGUGCUAUCUGAAGAAGAUGGCUUUUAACUCGUUUAACAAGCUAAUUGAAUAAGAGGGGGGCAAGACUGGUGUCAGCCGCCGCGGUAACACCAGCCCCUCGAGUGGUGGGGAUGAUUAUUUGGCCUAAAGCGUCCGUAGCCGGCCAUGUAAGUCCCCCGUUAAAUCCAGCGUCUCAAGCGUUGGACUGCGGGAGAUACUGCAAGGCUAGAGGGUGGGAGAGGUAAGCGGUAUUCUGGGGGUAGGGGCGAAAUCCUUUGAUCCCCGGAGGACCACCAGUGGCGAAGGCUGCUUACUAGAACACGCCUGACGGUCAGGGACGAAAGCUGGGGUAGCGAACCGGAUUAGAUACCCGGGUAGUCCCAGCCGUAAACGAUGCAUGCUAGGUGUUGGGUCGGCCAUGAGCCGCCCCAGUGCCGCAGGGAAGCCGAUAAGCAUGCCGCCUGGGGAGUACGGCCGCAAGGCUGAAGCUUAAAGGAAUUGGCGGGGGAGCACCACCAGGCGUGAAGCCUGCGGUUUAAUUGGAUUCAACGCCGGA